rnacentral:rRNA from 1 species
CAUAAAAGAGCUUGCUCUUUUGAUGGCGAGUGGCGAACGGGUGAGUAAUGCAUCGGAACGUACCGAGUAGUGGGGGAUAACUGUCCGAAAGGAUGGCUAAUACCGCAUAUUCUCUGAGGAGGAAAGCAGGGGACCUUAGGGCCUUGCGCUAUUUGAGCGGCCGAUGUCUGAUUAGCGAGUUGGUGGGGUAAGAGCCCACCAAGGCGACGAUCAGUAGCGGGUCUGAGAGGAUGAUCCGCCACACUGGGACUGAGACACGGCCCAGACUCCUACGGGAGGCAGCAGUGGGGAAUUUUGGACAAUGGGCGCAAGCCUGAUCCAGCCAUGCCGCGUGUAUGAAGAAGGCCUUCGGGUUGUAAAGUACUUUUGUCAGGGAAGAAAAGCCUGGGGAUAACACCCUCGGGUCAUGACGGUACCUGAAGAAUAAGCACCGGCUAACUACGUGCCAGCAGCCGCGGUAAUACGUAGGGUGCGAGCGUUAAUCGGAAUUACUGGGCGUAAAGCGAGCGCAGACGGUUAUUUAAGCAAGAUGUGAAAGCCCCGGGCUCAACCUGGGAACUGCGUUUUGAACUGGGUAACUAGAGUGUGUCAGAGGGGGGUAGAAUUCCACGUGUAGCAGUGAAAUGCGUAGAGAUGUGGAGGAAUACCGAUGGCGAAGGCAGCCCCCUGGGAUAACACUGACGUUCAUGCUCGAAAGCGUGGGUAGCAAACAGGAUUAGAUACCCUGGUAGUCCACGCCCUAAACGAUGUCAAUUAGCUGUUGGGGUACAUGAUGCCUUAGUAGCGUAGCUAACGCGUGAAAUUGACCGCCUGGGGGAGUACGGUCGCAAGAUUAAAACUCAAAGGAAUUGACGGGGACCCGCACAAGCGGUGGAUGAAUGUGGAUUAAUUCGAUGCAACGCGAAGAACCUUACCUGGUCUUGACAUGUACGGAAUCUCUUAGAGAAUAGGAGAGUGCCUUCGGGAGCCGUAACACAGGUGCUGCAUGGCUGUCGUCAGCUCGUGUCG